rnacentral:rRNA from 1 species
CCUACGGGAGGCAGCAGUGAGGAAUAUUGGUCAAUGGCCGGAAGGCUGAACCAGCCAUGCCGCGUGAAGGUCAGUGCCCUAUGGGCGUUAAACUUCUUUUGUGCGGGAGCAAUAAUGGUCACGUGUGGCCAGACGAGAGUACCGUACGAAUAAGCAUCGGCUAACCCCGUGCCAGCAGCCGCGGUAAUAAGGGGGAUGCAAGCGUUAUCCGGAUUUAUUGGGUUUAAAGGGUGCGUAGGCUGGGAGGUAAGUCAGCGGUGAAAUGCCCCCGCUCAACGGGGUGAAGUGCCAUUGAUACUGGCUGGCUGGAAUGCGGAUGCGGUGGGAGGAAUGUGUGGUGUAGCGGUGAAAUGCAUAGAUAUCACACAGAACACCGAUUGCGAAGGCAUCUCACGAAUCCGCGAUUGACGCUGAUGCACGAAAGCGUGGGUAUCAAACAGGAUUAGAUACCCUUGUAGUC